GGAAACUUGUCCGAGUGGCUGAAGGAGCAACCCUGGAAAGGUUGUAUACGGGAAACUGUAUCGAGAGUUCGAAUCUCUCAGUUUCCG
rnacentral:tRNA from 1 species